GGCUGGGGCUCAGCGGUAGAGCUCCCACCUGGCAUGUGUGAGGCACUGGGUUCAAUCCCCAGCACCAAGUAA
rnacentral:tRNA from 1 species